GGGGAGGUGCCAGAGUGGUCGAAUGGGGCCGCCUGCUAAGCGGUUAACGGCCGUUAAAAGCCGUUCAAGGGUUCGAAUCCCUUCCUCCCCGCCU
rnacentral:tRNA from 1 species